GGCUGCAGCAGGAACACAUCCAGCUCACUCCCGAUAAUUAUCGCGUUAAUUACUCACUUUAAUUGUCUCAAAAAAUUAUAAUUAGCUCACUUUACGCGUAGUAAUUAAUUCAAAUUCGAAUUAAAUAAAAAAAAGUACUCGAGUUUAUUUAUUUUAAAAGUUUGGAAUUAAAAUUUUUCACAACCUCCUGCCCUGUAAUUAAAGCGUCUGGAAAAAAAUGAUGAGUAAUUUUAGCAAUGAUCCAGUCUCCACUACACUGCCAUUAUUCUUUGCUCUGCUCUGAUCUCGCUCUACAGUCUCCACUGACUCCAUGCAGUACCUCGUCCAUUGGUGUGACGUGUUCGAGGUCGUUUGACGAGUGAAUGACCAAAAAAAAUUAAUAAAUACCCGGCGAGUACAUACAUUGUGCAUUUUACGAAAGCUGAGGAUUGGCCACAACGAAAAAUAAUCCAGAGGCGAGUAUUUCAACGUGGGUCGAGGUGUCGAGGCCCAGCGGGGUGCAGCGGGAGUAGGCGGUGUUGUUCGCGAGUGAUAGUAGAGGAGGAGGACAUGCUGCAGAAGGCUAAAAAUAAUAAUAACUGAGUAAGAAGGGCGCGAAUCCUUGACGGGAUACCGAGUAU